AUGUGUGAUGAACAUGUCGGAGAUACUGCUCAGCCACCGUCAGCACAAGCAGUACAAGAACUAGUUGAUUCAUUCUCAGAUCAACAGCUUGAUGCUACAGAAAUACAAAAGUCGAUGCAUGGUGGGAUCCAAAAACAAGCAAAGAACGACACAGUCUUUACUCCCAAGCAAGCUGGGUUAGGCAGAUCAUACAGGGAGAUGUUGACGGACGAGGAAGAAGAUGUGGUUUCAUACCGUCCUUUCUGGGAAUACACUUGGGGCGACAAGUGUGGUUCCUUCGAAGACUACACCUUUUUGACUCCCACACUUUAUACAUAUGGAACCAUCCCAGCACAUGCUGGCCCCUUCGGUUUCUUGCAGAUCUUCUCCAUCAAAGUCAUGGAGAAUGAAAUGUGGAGAAUCAGGUGGCCAGUGGAGGUAUAUGGCUUCAUUGCUGCUCGAGACAAUUUGGAUCGCAAUCGCAACCUUCUGUUCAGCCAGACAAGGGAUGAGCCCCAAAUUCUCACUCAACAGGAUUCAUUUUUGCAGUUGACUGGCCCGCGUCGCCCAAUUGCGUUGAUCGACCCUGUUGUCUUUGAGAUUCAACUAAAAGUGAAGGGCACAACUGAGUGUGAGGAUGAAACAUUGAUGGCUCGAUCGUUUGAAUAUGGACAUGGUUUUGGAGAAUAUGGUGAGCUUGCCUGUCGUUGUUGGGCCGGUAAUUUUUGCACACUAGAGAUCACCUCUGCGCUACUUUCCAGAACGGUUGCAGUCACUAUCAUCUCCGCUGAUGUUAUUAAAGGGUCAUGGCCUGGUGAUUAUAGAGGCCGUGUGGUUGCCCAUACUGCUGACAUAGAUGAGGAUUUUGUGCUGCUUGAUUCUGGAGAAGGACGUCUGCAAGUGAAUCCAGACGGCCGUAUUGUCCUUCAAAGGGGUGUUGUUUGUGUGGAACAUGAGGGAAUGCUUACGGUUUCUGUGGAAGCCUACUCAAAGGCGGGUACUUGUCGUGCAGAUUGCGUUGAAUUCAAGCCCAGAAAAUCCCUCACAAGUGAUGGUACUUGCAACCUUGGUUUCUGCACUGUGCAGUUUAUCGUUGGUUGGUCCCCCAUGGCAAGAAAGCAUGAUCUGAUGUAUGAUGGCAACUGA
rnacentral:rRNA from 1 species